rnacentral:pre_miRNA from 1 species
GAAAAAAAAAGAAAACGAGAGAGAGAUAGAGAGAGAGAGAGAAGAAGUUGUUGAGUUGUUUUCCCUCUCUCGUCCCCUUCCCUCCCUCCCCUCCUCCUCUUCUCU